GACAAACGCUGGCGGUAUGCCUAACACAUGCAAGUCGAACGGACAGACCAGGGAAGCUUUUCGGAGUGGAACUGGAAAGUUAGUGGCGGAUGGGUGAGUAACGCGUGGACAACCUACCUUGUAAAGGGGAAUAACCUCGAGAAAUCGAAGCUAAUACCCCAUAAUAACCUUGCUUCGCAUGAAGUAAGGAGGAAAGGCGGCCUUAGCGCUGUCGAUACAAGAUGGGUCCGCGUCUGAUUAGCUAGUUGGUGAGGUAAAGGCUCACCAAGGCGACGAUCAGUAGCCGGCCUGAGAGGGUGAACGGCCACAUUGGGACUGAGACACGGCCCAAACUCCUACGGGAGGCAGCAGUGGGGAAUCUUCCGCAAAGGGCGAAAGCCUGACGGAGCAAUGCCGCGUGAGUGAAGAAGGCCUUCGGGUUGUAAAACUCUGUCCUUAUCGAAGAGAGAGUGUUGUAGUAACUGACAAUACUAGGACGGUAGAUGAGGAGGAAGCCCCGGCUAACUAUGUG
rnacentral:rRNA from 1 species